ensembl:lncRNA
CGUCAGGCGAAUGGGCAGUGGGCCCACCCCAAGGGGAUGGUGAUUGGUCAGAAAUAAUUAUAUAUUCCCACUCCCCUCGCUGUGAUUGGGUUGGGGUAGACAUGUGACCCUGUUCUGGCCAAUGAGACAGAAGGGAAGUCUCCUAGGGGCUUCUGGGAAGGAUUUCCCUCUCGAAUAAAAAGACAAAGCAGCCAUUUUAGGAUGGCUCACUUACUCUGGGGGAAGCCAGCCGCCAUGUUGUGAGGAGACCCAAGCAGCCCUUGGAGAAGCCUGCAAGGUGAGGAGCUGAGUCUGCCUGCCAACCAUCAGCACCAGCUUGCUAACUAUGAUAUGUCCUGCUUCAUGAUCGUGAGAGCCAAAAUAAAUUCACAAUUCCUCUGUUAGUCACAAUACCAGGAUUUCUGAGUGCCCAUCCUAGUGACAGUGAGAGGGCAGUCUUUUCGCUUCCUAAGGUAAGUCCAGGGAUCCCAGAGUGUCUACCAGUCCAAAGGAGGCCAUCCUGGUUAGUUGUUCCUCGUGAAAGAGAAAACCAGAAAAACUGGUUUAGCCACUGAAGGGUGCCCAGUUCUCAACCGCACAGGCUUCCCCACACCAGAAAUUCCAGCAGUUUCUCAGAGAAUAUCUGAGGAAAUGAAAUAUUGCCUUCGCAAAACACCCAGGGACCCAUCCUGAAGGAACAACCGAAGGAUGUCCCAACUUGUUAGAACAAAGAAGUCCAGGCUGUUGGUAUAGGCUGUCCUCCUGGGAUGCUGAGUCAGGUCGCAUGCUUCCUGGGAAAGAAGGGGAGAUUCAGGUUGUGCCGAUAGUGUGGGGACUUCUCCUGGCCCGUCUGGGCUUGCCAUUCCCCCCGGCCUCUGAGGCUUUCGUGUUUCUUCCUCCCUCUUCUGCCUUCUAAGUCUCCACGUGCUCUUCCCUCCAUCAUCUCAGCUUCUUUCCACCAUACCUCGCUGCCCAAGGUACUCAGAAACCAAGGCCUUUUCCCCCAGGAUCCCCUUCCAUAUAGUCCCACUCUUCUCUCAACGAUUCCUCUUUCAGGAAAUUCCUGAGGGGCUUGACUAUAGCACCGUGGGGAUCUCUGUUUCAGAGAUGGUGUGGGGGUGAGGGCAGGGACCCUCACCCUAACUCACUUCCCACCUCCCAUGACAGGAGGAAGGUUUGCUUCCACUGUCCUGGACCCAGCAUUCAAGGAUGGGCCUAGGAGCCAGGGCAGGACCCCAGUGGGACUGAUGUGCCCUCCAGUGGCCCCACGCCACAAUGGCACCACCACUCUCAUGCCCCAGUGCAGACCUCACUGCCACAAUGGCCCUCAGGACCCUGCCUGCCCACCUCCAUCCCUGGGCUGGCUGCCUCUCCCCUUGAACGUAGGUUACAGCUGAGGAGGGAAGCGAGGUCACUUGGGAGCUCUUUGUCUCUUGCACUGAGUUUAUAGUUAUUCCUACUACAUUCCGGAGAACUUUUAAGACCCCUGGGAAGGGCUGGGGAGGUGCCUUUUACGCUCCAGGCUCUGUGAGCUUGUAGGAAGGCCAGAGAAAUGGUCAGGCCUGGGGUGGCAUCUCAGCCAUUCUUGGGCCUCGAGGGAUGGAGGCACGGCCUUCCCACACAGCCAGAACGGCCCCAGAAGAGGAGUCUGCUUUCUCCCCUGGGAAAUGGGAAUAAUAAGAGCAUAAAAGGAGGUAAAGCCUUUUAUUCAGCCUUUGAAAGGUGAAUUUUCCCGGAGGAGUGAACACACUGGUAGGCAGGGCAAUGGUGAAGCAGAGCGAGGCCCUGAGACUUCAGAAUUUCAGGUGGCUCUGAGUCCUGGCAGCAAAGCCAGGCAAGCAAAGGCAAGGACUGAUUCUUUGACACACAUCAGUCUCUGUCUGGAGAACCUCAGGAACAUGAUUUGUGGGCCUGGCUACAUGUUUGUUGAAUCAAAAUAUGACUGAGUCAGUGAAUGACUGAAUGCACGAUUCCGGGUGAGCUCACUCAGCUCCGGCCCCAGAAUUCCCUGUGGUGCUGCUGAGAAUUUGCCUCCGCGCCACCUGCUGGCGGGCACUGACUCUGGCCAGCUCCUGCUAGAGUUGGAAGUUUGUCACCUGGAUGCGGAAGGGGAUGAUGGAAGGACGGGGACCAGCCUCUCUAUGGAUGACCUGCUCCCUCAGGAACAGCUGCUACCUGGUUUAUCCUGAUCCUUCUGAAGGUCAAUCAAGAAAACAUAUCAAAGGCUUGGAAAAGGCAAAAGAGAUUCCUGGGUGUCCUUUCAGAGGAAGGCUGGGUGUCAGCGAGGUGUCCUCUGAUGAUGAUCUGAUUCUUUAGGGGUAUGUGCUAUUGAUUGUCUUUGACUUUAUAACUCUGUAGGGAUAGAGGUAAUGUGUGUGAAACAGAUCAUAGUGCAAAUGAUUCCUGUUCAUAACCCCACAAAGGAAUUUUGUCCAAAUUCUCAUUUGCACUAGUUUUAACAUUUUGCUGGUUCCUUGGCAGUUAAAGAGUUAAGGAAAAUCUUUGCCAUGUGUUCACAUUUUUAAAAUUUCUAUGAGGGUCAUGACUUCACUUUCUUGAAAAUUAUAUUUGAGCAGCUCCUUGGUCCUUGGUCCCCAAGGAAUCUACAAAGCCUCUCACACCUUCCUUCCCUUCCUGCCCCCCAACCUGUUCAGGCAGCACCAGCAACUGCACCCUCUGGGUCCCCACUGUGCACAGCACAGACUUCAAGGACAAGCUGCCCUGUCUGCUCCCCGCCAGCCUCUCCCUCUAGACUGCCAGCUUCCGAGGGCAGGGGCCAGGUCUGAUUCUCGCUGGAUCUACAGAGCUCGGUAGAUGCUGUUGAAUGAAUUUACAAAUGUACUUAGUUGGGACCACACCUCAUUGUUGGUGAGGGAGCCCGAUAUACAGAAAGGGCCAUUCAUGCACUGGCCCAACACUCUGAGCCUCAGUUUCCACAUCUGGGAAAUGAGGAUAGUAUUCCCUAUAUACUGAACAUACAGAUGGGAAGGAAGUCUUAAGGGAACUCCUGCAUGCUUUCUAUUUCCCUCUUUUAGUUUCUAGUCCCAUCUCCUACCCCACGCCCAGGAGACUGGCUCCCCAUCCUGCAAGGCCCACGGGAAGUGUUCAGUUACGUCCCCCUGCCUGGCUCAUGAAUGAGAAGAGGAAGGGGAGAUGGCUUGAGGGGCCGGGGUGCCCAUCAUUGGGCGGGCGAGGAGCGGGGCCUACUUAGCAGAAGCCUUGAGCUCCAGUGCUGGGGGGUGGGGAGGCAGGAGGGGUGCUAGGUGCCUGAAGACUGACAGGGAAACCCCAUGAGAAAAACCGAAGGGAGACAGAGGUUGGAAGAGGCUGGAUUUCAAGUAGCUGCAGAUCCGGGCCCCAGCCCCAACCCAACCCAAGCCACCAGGAGCCCAGCUGCUUCUCUGGUCCCUGCCUCCCUAAACAGCUUCAUCUGCCAAGUUGCUGACUCCCGAAUAACUGGGAUUCGGGCGCCACCUUGUGGCCAUUUCUGAAAUUGCUUACCCAGGCUGAGUGGAACCCAGAUUCCAAGGGCGGAGGGAACCAGGCCAACAGUUGCCCAAAUUUCCUGGCCUCCGUCCUCUUCGUCCUCAUCUUCCGCCUUCCAUUUAUUGAAUACUGAAUGUAGGCCAGGCUCUGUGCUCAGCUGUUUUCAGGGCUUUAGCACAUUUAAUUUUGCAAGAGCCUUAAAAGUCAGGUGAUACCAUUUUACAAAUGACGAAACUGAGGCAUAGAGAAGUGAAGUUGUUUUUCCAAGGUCACACGGCUAGAGAGUGGACCAGAAGAGCUUCUCUCUGUACAGCAGAGGGUCGGUGAGGCCGUUCGUCUUGCCCCUUAACAGCCAUUUGGCCUUGGGGCCUUCCAGCUCAAAUUCAAAUAUGUUUUUGGCGCCGAUUCUGUGCCAGACCUUACACUGGGCACUGGGAUCUCCUGCAGUCCUCUGUCUCAGUGCCCACUAAUCCUCUCCCCAGCACUGAUCACCGUUUGUAUGGCCUGACUUACUUGUUAAGCAUUUAUCUCCCACCAAGACUGUGGGCUUGCUGAGAGCAGAGACCUAGUCUGUUUUCUUCACUCUUGCAUCUCCAGAGUCCAAAAUUGAUCUCGGAACACAGAAUAGGUGCUCAAUAAACAUUUGUGAACGAACUAAUACAUCAGCGAAUGAAUAUAAGACUUUUUAAAAGCCAAAAACAUCCGUGUCCUCAAGACGCUGACAGCCUAAUGAGGAAGGCAGACUGUAAAAGCUAGACAUGGAUCCUGCCCACCCCCCCACACCCCCCCUUCCCUCAGUGCUUUGCCAGAGGGAGGCAUGGGAGCUUCAGGAGCCCAGAGAGGUGCCCAACCUGGCCCAGGGCCUCAGGGCAGGCUUCCUGGGGAAGGACAACACGCCUCGAGACCUAUAAAGGAAGGAAGGGGAAAGGUGCUCCACAUAGAGGUCACGGCUUCAGCAAGCGCCUGGCGAGGGGAACCUGCAUGGUGCGCACUGCGAAUUCUAAGCCUCGAGGAGGGACCUAGAGGGAGGAAGAGAGGUCUGCAGGGAAUUCAAGUGAGUCAUUAAAAACAAAUCCUUCCCUUGACUGCCCCUCAGAUAGCUCAUCCACAAAAUGGGGGAAAGACGAGGAUGAAAUGAGACGCAGGGCCUGGCACACUACUGUGGCCUUUAUGAGACCUUCAGGUCUCCCUAAUUGUUUACCUCUCCACCCAGACACACUUUAGGGGGAUGGCCACCAGGGGCCAGUAGCGGGGCUCCAGAAGUGGCUGAGAAUGAUGGCCUGAGACAGAGCUGGAGGGACCACUGUGCUGGAUUGGUUUAUUUAUUUAUUUAUUUAUAAUUUUUUUUUCUUUUUGUGAGGAAGAUUGACCCUAAGCUAACAUCUGUGCCAGUCUUCCUCUACUUUGUAUAUGGGACGCUGCCACAGCAUGGCUUGAUGAGUAGUGCGAAGGUCCGAGCCAGGGAUUGGAAUCUGUGAACCCCGGACCGCCAAAGCAGAAAGCGUGAACUUAACCACUACGCCAUGGAGGGACCGCCGUGCCCAGUUGGUUUAAAUCAGCGCCUCUGAGAUGGCAGCACCAGGAGACCCCUUGGGCUCCAAGCAUCCAACCCCCAUGAGACAGCAGAGCUUCAUCCUGCAAGGCACGGCACCAAGUCAAAGAACUGGGUGAGCCCCCUCACACGGAGGGCGCUGGAUAGAGACGUUUAGUGUAACCAGAAAUUCAUUCUUCCCUCCAGCAAAUGUUUAUUAAGCAUCCACUAUGUUCCAGCUGUUAGAAGCCGUGGGGUUGCAACAGACAAUAAACCAAUAUAGUCUGUGUGAGUGUGUGUGUGUAUGUGUGUGAGAUGUUGAAAAGUUCUCCUAGGGAGAAAAAUUAAGACGGGAAGGGGAACAAGGAAUGUGGAAAUGGUUUGCAAUUUGAAAUAGGAUGGUGCAGGAAGGCCUUCUGGGAAGGGACCUUUGAAUAGAGAUCAGAAGAUAUGGUGGGAAUAAGCCAUGAAGACAUCUGAGGGAAGAGGGUCCCAGGCAGAGGGGACAGCAAGUGCAAAUGCCCUGGGGCAAGAUUGUGCUUGUCAUGGUUCAAAGAGCAGUGAAGAAGCCAGAGAGGGGGCUGAGGCAGGGGGCCAGAUGGAGUAAGGCCUUCCAGGUCACCAGGAUGCCCCAAAGUGGAUGUAAUACAUAGUGACAAAGGUACACAAUAGGAGUGAGGCCCAGAGCCGCUCAUUAGGCAACUCUAAACUUGUGUCUCAUUACCCAACCACACCUCCUGCAGUGCACUAUGAAUUAAUAUUUUCUAUAAAUCCUGUAAUUAUCUUGUGAAUAGCACAAUUAUAUUGCAUUGUAUUUGUAUGUGUUAAAAGCGCUCAUUUGUUAAAUGUAAACAUUUGAAAUAUACCAUGUAUUAUGCAGCCCUUUUCACACUUUUAUUUAAUAAACUGGAAGCCUUAAAAUUGGAAGCAGAAGGGCCUUUUCUUCCAAGAGUUCCCUGGAGGCAGGUCUACACUCACACUCAUCCACACCCUCACAUACACCACACUGACUCACCCACUCACCCACAGUGCCCAGCCAGAAGCCCGGGCUGGGAGGCAGAGACCUGUUCACCUGCCACUCGGGGUGGCCUCGGGCAGAUCCCUGCAGUGUCUUCCACUCCCUCCACCUCACCUUGCCCAGCCCUUAACAGUUUAUAGACAGCGUCCUUGUCCUCAUGGACCUUCACUACAAAAUGGGCAGGGGUUAAUGUGUCCAUUUUACAGACAGGUAAACUGAGGCUCUGAGUGGUGCCUGCUCAAAGCGGCUGAGGAUGGAACAGGGAGACUAGAGAAGGCAAAAUGGGGAUGGGGAAGAUUUAGAAGUUCAAAGGUGAGGAGAGGGGCGGGAGACUGUCUUUGCUGACUCUGGUGGACCAUGACCUCAGACAGACCUGGGUUUGAAUCCCAGCCCCACCACUUAUUUACUUUGGAUAAAUUCCUUAAACUCUCUGAGCCUCUGCUUCCAAAUCUUUAUAUUUACAUCCAAAUCAUUGUGGCAAUAAUGAUAGUACUCACCUCGUGAUUUUCUUGUGCAGAUUAAAUGAGGUCACAUCGAUGAAACGGCUGUUGUUAUUAUUGUUAUUUUUGGUCUUACCGAGUCCUGGGUGAGAGGUGGAGCGGGGUGAGGAGGAGGCUGUUCAGAUGACACCCCACCCAGCCACAGCCAAGUGCUGGCUCGACUCCGGCUGUGUUGCUUCCUCUGCCUGUGUAGACAGUGGGUAUUCUACAAUGACUACAGUCCAACCUUUCCCGUCACUCCUGCUUUAUAGUUUCUGAAGUGCUUUCAUUCAUUCAUUCAUUCACUCUUCAACAUUUCCUGAGUGCCUCGUGUGUAAACCAGCACAGUGCUGGGUCCUGGGAAUCUCCUGGAAUGAGGCAGGCACUGUCCCUGCACCCAGAGAGCUUCAGACAUCACGUCGUUGCCGCACAAAUAAAUAUAUAGUUAGAAACUGGAUUAUGGGCUAGAAGAGAAAAAUACAGGGGGACUAGGAGAGAGAAUCACAAGGGGCCCUAAUUUAAUCUCAACAGACCCGCACAGCAGCGGCCAAGGAAAACUCUCACCCCAUUGCCUUGGAUGGAGACCCUGAGUCUCAGGACAGCAUAGGCAUGGGGCCAAGGGCACCGAUGAGGUGGGGUGCAGGAACCAGGAGGCCAGCAUGUCCAGCUGACUCCUUCUCCACCCAAGCUGGCCUGGGAGAAGGAGAGCUCUGCCAAAGGGUCCCCCCCUGGAGUGAGGCCUGUGGGGCUGCCAGGGAAGGGAGUGGGCCUGUGUGGACUCCUAUGUUCCCUUGACACAGCUGCUUUGCAUCUCCUGAAGGGUGGGGGCUGACUCACCCCCCAGGGUCUGAAAGGCAGGGUGUACCAUUCCUUCCCUGUGGGCACCAGCCUGGGCCUACCCUCUGGACAGAGCUGUUCCAAGCUUGGGCUCCAGGGGGCCGGGCUGAGAGUGGGGGAGGGUUGCUCCCUAGGGGAGGCUAUGCCAGGCUGGCUUGGCAGCAUGCCCACCUUGUGGGCAGAGCAGGCUGGAGGCUGUGCUGGUUCUGAGUUCAGUCUGUUGAGCUAUUGUUUGGUACUGACCCCAGAACCACCAGCCUCUGAACUCUAUUUUGCCACUUGCAAAACCCCUGCAUAACCCCUAUCUCCUUUCAUCCUCACCAAAAACCUGGCAGGAGAGAAAAGGCGCUGGGCAUGGAGCCAGCAGAUGAGGGCUGGAGUCCUAGCAAGUGCUACAUUUCUUUCAUUCAGUCAUUCAACAAACAUACAGGUGUGAAAUGAUGCUUGGCCUCAGGACGGCUGUGGAAGGAGAAGUCUGACCCUCAGGAAUCCCCCAUGGGUGCCAAGCAGGAGUCUGAGCAUAGCUGGGUGGGUGUCUCGGGGGCGGUAGUGUCCAGUCUGGGCUUGGGUUCCCUGAAGCAGACAGACGCUGAGAUGAGAUUUUCGAUAUUUUUCUGCAGGAGGCUUGUUGGAGCUGCUCUCAGGCCUGACCCCUGGAAGGGAGUGAGGAAACCCAAGUGGCCUGAGGUGCAGCUGCAGCAGAGGCCUCAGCCUAUCCCUCGGGGAGCUUGGGAACUGGGACAGCCCUUUGGAAUUGACCCAAACUGAGGCCAACUCUCUGGUGACCUGUCACUGAAUAUGGGCUACCCCGUGGGAGGGACAUAAUCUUGUAGGUAGCUACUGCAGGAAUGAGCUCCUCAGUCCUGAAGGGGGUCUGGGUGGUGCAUGAGCAGCCCCUUCAUACAACCCCCAAAGAGGCGCUCCUCACCCCUCUUAACUGUGGAAAAUCUAGACUUAUUACAAAGCUCUUCUCCAUCCUCCAUAUUUGUGGGAACUUCAGGGCUGUUUUCAUAAGUCCAGGAACCCGCCUUGGUCAGCCUCGACUCUGAAUGCUCCUCAGCCUGGUAUGCAGUAAGCGCUCACUAAUUGUUCGAUGGCCAGGAUAGAGUGUAGGGGGAGGAGAAAGGGGCGAAUCUAGGGAGACUCCCAGCUUUCUUUCUGGUUUGGGCCCCUGGCUAAGACAGAGGUCAAAUUGGGGAGAGAAGAUGUGGUGGAUUGGGGACACGCCAAGGUCGUAGUGUGACUGAGACACCCAGGCCCUAGGGUCUGGUGCCAGCUCCACGAGGAGCACCCCCAUGAUGGAGUAAGAGGGAGAAGAGCCCAAGAGGGCUGCAGAGGGGGAGGGGAGCCUGGACGGAAGGGAACGGAGUCGCAGUAUCCAGGGAGCCGGCAAUGAUGUCAGACACUGAGAGGGCAAAGGGGAUGGGGAUCGAGAAAGGGGACAAAGAGAACAUGGCCGGGUCUCGGUGAGGCAUGCAGAAGGCUGGGAGGGGGGCUUGGUGAGGGGCCUGGAGGCUCGGUGAGGGCGUGAGAGGCCCCUGGUGCAGUCGUGG